rnacentral:lncRNA from 1 species
ACAGAAACCUACCGAUACAAAUAAGUAGAGCUGCUGCCAAGAGCACGUUCAAAUGCCUUUGAAAGGUGUCUAACUACACGUGGAGCAGCUGCGGUUACAAUAUGAUAAUGUCAGACGGGUGCAUAUAUUAGAAGGGUCAUGUCCAACACAGUUCAAUACUAUGAUACUUUUAUCUGUAGCAAUGCAAGCAGCUAGCAACAAUCAAUCUAGUGUAGCUCGAUCUAGACUUGGCUGAUAUAUACCAAUAAUUAAAAAAAUCCCAUAUAAGUCAUAAUAUAAUUGAUGAAAGCUUGAUUCUUUUUUAUCCAUUUCACCUAAAAAUAAACUAAGGUUUUUAUAUGUAAAAUUAGAAAAACAUAUGAACCAGCAAAAAUUGGUAUAACAAUCACAUCUUAAUUUUUUAGCUAUACCAUCCUAGUGAAUAGUGAUGCUGGAUGCCUAGACCGACUCUAUUUAGCAUUUAUUAAUCUGAAAUUGGGAAGCAAUCAAGCAAAGCUCCAAAAUGUAGAAUUAGAUUUGAUUUAGCACUGAUGGUUUCACUGGUCACCACUCUAGCAGCUAGGAGGAUGGAUCGGAUUGGGCCAUUGGGGAUUUAAUUUGAGAUUUGAGACUACAUACCGGAGAUCAAAGGGGUAUGGACACUGGGAGCACGGAAAGGGAAGGGACACAGGGCUGCAGUCCUAUCUCCUCUCCGUUUCAGACUUAGAAAUUCAGACAUUAGUACCUGCUACUCCAUAAGUGAAGGAAGCUGGCCGCCCAACUAGCAUCCAGCAGCGCCGUCGUGCUUUGGCUAGCUACCUGGCUACACACUUGGUCCUAUAUAGAUCUGCCCCUCUCAUACGUACUCAAUAAUGGAGGGAAGGGAGCAGCUGACAGCUUUGAAAGGGAAGAGAAUGAGUACCUGCUCAUGUACGCUCCUGUUUGACGGCGGGACAGGGGGCGAAGGCUGUGACGACGCGGUGAAGACGGCGGCUCAGGCGAGUACAGAGACGCCAACGAGCGUGCAGCAGAGAUGGUGGCCUGGACGAUGGGUGUGGUGCUGGGGACGAUAUCCACGAUGACGGGGACGGCAGCCGCGGCGGCGAGAGUACGGCGGCCGUGGCAGGGAUGGCACCCAAUGCAAGCUGGCGUGCGGCAGAGAUGAGAUGCGGGUGCUGGGGUGAGAUGCGUGAG